rnacentral:lncRNA from 1 species
GACAGCGGCUGCUCAGGCACCCGCACGGACCCCGUCUCGGACACCCGGGCAGGGCUUUUUCAAUUUCAAACAGCUGCGAAUAAUGAGAUGCCUUUCAUUCGGGGUUGGGUUCUUUGCCCGUUUUCCAUUGCAGUUGCAAGUUCUUAAAAAGUCAUCUUUAUGGAAAGAAAAAGUUAUCGUAGAUAAGAAGAUCCCCCUAAUGAUCUGGAAAGCAAGGCAUAAAUGAAGGUGAUUAUGAAGGUGCUUUGAAUGUGCAGAGGUUCACAUAAAAUAUUAUAGCAAUGUAUUUGGUUUAUUCAGUGUAAAUAUAAAUAAGCAUCUUUGUUUGUGUAUUAUAAAAAUACCUCUCCUUUUAGAAAUUAUUUUCUGUGAUUUUCUUCCCCUUUAUGUCAGAUGAACACGUAACAUGAGUGGUACCUUUCAGCUGUUGUAGGAUAAGCAGUACUUCAGAGCUACUUAGGAUGUCAGUUAAGAUAAGACAAAUCAUCAGAAAGGAAAACAAGACAUAUUUUUGAAGGUCAAGUUUCUAUUUUUAUGGUCAUUUCAUAAUGAACAGUAAAUUUUGCCUCAUAGUUAUAGGUUUGCUUGGGUGAUUUGUCAUACUUGGCAGUAGUAUGUCAGGUACAACUUAAAGUAUUUGGAGAUUAUCCACAUGAACUUAGAGAAAGAAAUGACAAAACAGGAGGGAAAUAAUUUCACGAUUAUUAGCCAUACUCUUUUCUGGGUCGCAUUUUAAGUGUAUGAACGCGUUAGUGAUUAUAGAUCU